rnacentral:rRNA from 1 species
AGAGUUUGAUCCUGGCUCAGGACGAACGCUGGCGGCGUGCCUAAUACAUGCAAGUCGAGCGAGCUUGCCUAGAUGAAUUUGGUGCUUGCACCAGAUGAAACUAGAUACAAGCGAGCGGCGGACGGGUGAGUAACACGUGGGUAACCUGCCCAAGAGACUGGGAUAACACCUGGAAACAGAUGCUAAUACCGGAUAACAACACUAGACGCAUGUCUAGAGUUUAAAAGAUGGUUCUGCUAUCACUCUUGGAUGGACCUGCGGUGCAUUAGCUAGUUGGUAAGGUAACGGCUUACCAAGGCAAUGAUGCAUAGCCGAGUUGAGAGACUGAUCGGCCACAUUGGGACUGAGACACGGCCCAAACUCCUACGGGAGGCAGCAGUAGGGAAUCUUCCACAAUGGACGCAAGUCUGAUGGAGCAACGCCGCGUGAGUGAAGAAGGGUUUCGGCUCGUAAAGCUCUGUUGGUAGUGAAGAAAGAUAGAGGUAGUAACUGGCCUUUAUUUGACGGUAAUUACUUAGAAAGUCACGGCUAACUACGUGCCAGCAGCCGCGGUAAUACGUAGGUGGCAAGCGUUGUCCGGAUUUAUUGGGCGUAAAGCGAGUGCAGGCGGUUCAAUAAGUCUGAUGUGAAAGCCUUCGGCUCAACCGGAGAAUUGCAUCAGAAACUGUUGAACUUGAGUGCAGAAGAGGAGAGUGGAACUCCAUGUGUAGCGGUGGAAUGCGUAGAUAUAUGGAAGAACACCAGUGGCGAAGGCGGCUCUCUGGUCUGCAACUGACGCUGAGGCUCGAAAGCAUGGGUAGCGAACAGGAUUAGAUACCCUGGUAGUCCAUGCCGUAAACGAUGAGUGCUAAGUGUUGGGAGGUUUCCGCCUCUCAGUGCUGCAGCUAACGCAUUAAGCACUCCGCCUGGGGAGUACGACCGCAAGGUUGAAACUCAAAGGAAUUGACGGGGGCCCGC